CCUACGGGUGGCUGCAGUGAGGAAUAUUGGUCAAUGGGCGCAAGCCUGAACCAGCCAUCCCGCGUGAAGGAUGAAGGCUCUAGUAGUUGUAAACUUCUUUUAUAUGGGAAGAAACCUGAGUACGUGUACCCAGUUGACGGUAUCAUAUGAAUAAGCAUCGGCUAACUCCGUGCCAGCAGCCGCGGUAAUACGGAGGAUGCAAGCGUUAUCCGGAUUUAUUGGGUUUAAAGGGUCCGCAGUCGGGAUCUGAUGAAAUCCUAUAGCUUAACUAUAGAACUGCCAUUGAUACUGUGAUUCUUGAAUGUAGUUGACGUGGGCGGAAUAUGACAUGUAGCGGUGAAAUGCUUAGAUAUGUCAUAGAACACCAAUUGCGAAGGCAGCUCACGAAACUAUUAUUGACGCUCAGGGACGAAAGUGUGGGUAGCAAACAGGAUUAGAUACCGGGUAGUC
rnacentral:rRNA from 1 species